GAUAAUUGUUUAGAUUGUUAGAUAGAUUGUUAGAUAACUACAGAGAUGUAAAUAAGGUGUGAUCAGCUGUAAUAUGUUGGAAUUCUUCAGAUUUUAUCAGAUUUUAUAGCAUAGCUGAUGGCUAAAUGUCCCCCAGUUAACCUCGUGAAAAAAAGAAAUGUGGAAGAAAUUGAUCUUCAUAAAAAUAUGCCUGAAAACAAAAUGGCCACUUAUUUGCCAAAGCAGUAAGGGAACAACUUCUUUGAGUGAUGGUCCUGUCAGGGUUCCCUCCCCACUCUGAACUCUGGGGUAGAGAUGUGGAGACCCGCAUGAAAGACCCCGUAAGCUUAUUUCUACGAGCUUAGGUUAAAAACUUCCCUAAGGCACAAAUUCUUCCUUGUCCUUGGAUGAGUGCUGCUGCCACCACCAAGUGAGUUAGACAAAGAUUCAGGAAAAGGACCACUUGGAGUUCCUGUUUCCCCAAAAUAUCCCCCCAAGCUCCUUCACUCCCUUUCCUGGGGUGGCUUAAGAAUAAUCUACCAACUAGAUAGGUAAACAAGGUGAGCACAGACCAACCCCUUGGGUUUUUAGGACACUAAAAACCAAUCAGAUUCUUUAAAAAAAAACAAAAACAAAAAAACCCCACCAGAACUUUAUUAUAAAGAAAAAAAAGUAAAAGAAGCACUUCUGUAAAAUCAGGAUGGAAGGUAAUUUUACAGGGUAAUAAGAUUCAAAACACAGAGGAUUCCCCUCUAGGCAAAACUUCAGAGUUACAAAAACAGGGAUAAACUUCCCUCUUAGCACAGGGAAAAUUCACAAGCUAAAACAAAAGAUACUGUAACGCAUUUCCUUGCUAUUACUUACUAUUUCCGUAAUUUUAGAUGUAUCAUUCAGUAGGAGCUGGAUUACUUGCUUGGUCUCUCUCUGUCUCCCAAGAGAACAACAACCCAAAACAAAAACCUUCCCCCACAGAUUUGAAAGUAUCUUCUCCCCUUAUUGGUCCUUUUGGUCAGGUGCCAACCAGAUUAUCUGAGCUUCUUAACCCUUUACAGGUAAAGGAGGGAUUUUAUGCUACCUUUAGCUGUAUGUUUAUGAUAGGUCACUGUUGUGUUCUACUGAGGGUUAUGUGCAUCCACCCUCAGUGGAAUAUAGAUAGGGACUACACAUCUUGAAGAAGCUCCAGUUACAGGCAAGUAACUGCCUCUUCUCUCAAUGUACGCACAAGAGCUAUCCAGACUGAAAUCCUUCACUACCAGCAGGAGGCAUGCGUCUUCAAUGUACCCACUGAGAUUAUUUCUGGUGGAAGAGCCAUAUCACCGAAGUGCCAAGCACUUCUGGAAACAAGGCCCUUUUUGCCUUAGGUUCAGUGUAUACAAUUUACCCUAAUCAGCUACUUCUUUCCCAGAGUUAUACACCCUAAAAGACAAAACUCCUAAUAAAGCCUUUCUGACCAACAGUAUAAUCUGCCUCACAGCCUCCACCAUAAUUGGAUCCCCACUAAUCUUUGGUCUUUCUUCCCUCUUCUAGCAGAAAGACAGGAGACAUAACGAAGGGGCAGAGUGGAAAGGAAAAAAGAAAAAACAUGACACAGAGAAGAAAGAGCCAGGAAAAAGAACAUCUGGAGAGGGUCAAGAAGGACAUCAGUCAUGAGAAUCAUUAUCUUCAAUCUUUGCCCCAGAGAUCAGGGACAGUGGACCAGGAGAUGGCCUAACUGAAACCAGGGGCCUCAGUUUUGGAGUGGCAGUUUCCUGUAGUGCUGGAAGAUGCAGAUUAGAUCCUUGUUGAGGAAUGGUGGGAUUUGAAACCAGAAAUAAUAAGAAGCAGAUUCGUCUCAGCUGAGAAUGACUGGGCCAGCCCUGGGCAGUAUCUUUUUUGCAGACAGACUUCCACUACAGCCUGAGCUGAAAUUUGUCUCAGUCUCUGAAGAACGUUAUUGAACAUCAGGUACCAGCACAUUUAUUUUUAGGGGAUCAGCUUCCAGUCAAAUUAUUUUCCACUAAAAUCCCCUCCUUAGAUCAGAGCAGAUUUUAACCACAUUUUUUAAAACUGUACUGAACACAAGUAUCCUCCUCUCUAUACUUCUGGUCAGCAGGGGGAGAGUUUUACAGUGUAGAUAAGCUCCAAGAAUGUGACGGAUGGGACAAAGUGGAAAAAAGAAGUGAGUUUCUCUUCGCUGCUUGUAUAGCAGAGAUAUAUAUGUGACUGGCCCAUUCUCUCUUGCUAAAACAAUGGCUGCUACUUGUUAAGCUGCAUUAAAUAUGAACAGCUGCUUUCUAGUCCCCUAUGGAAAUGAUAUGCUGAGAUCUCGGUGACUUGAUCAAUGGGAAUUGUGCCAAAAAUAUUUCAAUAGUUUCCCUAGUUGCAGGCCUAGCCUCCAUUCAGAAUGUAGCUAUCUUGUUCAGGGCUGUAAAAAAUUCACAUCUCCCGAGCAUUGUAGCUAUGGUGACCUAACACCUGGUGUAGACAGAUAGAAGAAUGCUUCUGUUGACUUACCUACCACCACCACCACUCAGGGAGGCAGAGUUCCUACAGCGACAGAGAAACCCCUUUCAUCGCUGUAGGAGGUGUCUAUGGGUUAUAGUGGCAGUGCUUCUGCCCCCUCCUCCCCCCCCCAAUGCACACAUGUCCCUAGUGAUGUGCUCACAAAACUGUUGGCAUUCUUAAAUACUGCUGCAGGAACAAGCCUUUUUUGGAGUCUGCCACGCAAUGGUCCAUUGCAGCCACCAUAACUGUGGAAAGUGUUACCUGCCUGCAACUAAUUUCCCUUGCCGGAGGGAAAAAACAACAGCUACCCAAUGCCAUCUCUGCCGGCAUGUCUCAAAACGUGGUGGGUAAACAAC